UACGUAGGUGGCAAGCGUUGUUCGGAAUUACUGGGCGUAAAGCGCGCGUAGGCGGCUCUUCAAGUCAGGCGUGAAAGCCCCGAGCUUAACUCGGGAACUGCGCUUGAUACUGUCGAGCUAGAGUGUGGAAGGGGCGAUUGGAAUUCCGUGUGUAGCGGUGAAAUGCGUAGAUAUACGGAGGAGCACCAGAGGCGAAGGCGGAUCGCUGGGCCAACACUGACGCUGAUGUGCGAAAGCUAGGGGAGCAAACGGG
rnacentral:rRNA from 1 species